UCUUCUCUCCUGAGCCAGAAUGAGCGGGGAAGAUCCAUCUCUGCUCUCUGUGCCAGUCAGUCCAUGCCUUUGUCAGGUGCUUGGACCUGUGCCAGCCACUGGGCAGUGCCCUCCCUAGCCAGGCCCUCUUUCUUUCUGUUCCAGACUUGCCAAGUUCUAGACCCUCAACGCAGCCUAAAGUCUCCUUCCCUGGUUAUGUUGUGGCCAUGAUUUCCCUGGGCCUCCUGCUCUUGCUGAUUGUCCCUCUGGUUCUCGUCCUGGCCUUUAAGACAAACCUCUGCAGCCGAAUAGCUGGCCUGUGUGUCCGGAAGCCUCGCUAUGGGCGCCAAGUGACUGCGUCCGAGUACACGAUGCACUCCUAUGACCUCAAACACUGAAGCACUUCCAGGAGAAGAGACCACACAGCCUGAGAGACCCCACGUUCUGACCCUCCAGGCCCCCUCUGGGUCACAGUUACUGCCCCAACCCAGAAAAUGAAUUGGGCUGGAAAGUUAAAGACUGAAGUGUGAGAAAGGUUUUGUUUUCCCCCUUCUCCAGUCCUAUCCCUUAAAAUCAAACCUGAACUUAAAGGAGAGGGAAUUGGAGAUGGGAUGUAUGGCCAAGGGUAUUCUGGGUCACUAAUGCCCCUGUCCAGUCAGCAUCCAGGACUUUGGACUGAACCCUCCCUAUCCAACCCUUCCUCCGCUUGUGCUGUAGAGCUCGUUUCAUAAACCAAGGUGAGAGAUCCCAAAGUUUAAGUAUUACCUUUCCCAGGUGAUUGGGAAAUGGUUGUUUUUCACAAGUCACCUGAUAUUGUAAUCCAGAGAAAAGACCCCAAGGAGGGGAUAAGGUCUCAUGGAAAUUUUUUUUGGGGGUAGGAAGGGUGGAGAAAAUCUCCUUUAUGUCAUUCCAAGUGACUGAGCAGCAUGAAGUUACUUCUAUCCUGUCUAAGUUCACAGGGCUUCUCCCUGGGAUUGGGGCUCCCCCAUCUCUUCCCCAGGCCCAUUUCAGUUUUGCCCUGCUCUGCUCCCUACCAUCCAUCAGCCCUUUUAGAGCCUUCUGUCUUUAAUGACCUCCAAUCAUCCCUGGAUUUCUAUCAGCCUUCACCGACCCCAGAAAGACCAGAGGGAAAGGAACACUGGGAUAAAGUUAUCAGCAGGUGCCCAGGGUUUGAAACUACUUUCCCCAAAGGUGCAGCUUAAGAAGGAGUGGGGGAUGAACCCUCUGAGCACGGGAAACAGAGCCCUGGCCAGAGCAGAGGAUUUUGUCUGGGGGAUGACCGAGGGUGAAAAGGGAGGUGGACGUUACCUUGUGAAAGGUCUCAAAGGCCAGACUUGGGCCUUUUGACUCGCUCCUAGGCCCAAUCCCACAACAUCCAUAUUCCUGUUGCUCUAUGUUUGGGAGACAGGCUGAUACACUAAGGGGGAAAGCCUACCCAAGUUGCCCCCCCCCCCAGGCCAGACCCCUCUACCCCUUCUCAGAGCCUCCCUGUCCCGCUUUAUCCUCAGAUAAAGUUAUUCCCUGUCCAUAAGACUGCCCCCAACUUCCUUUUGAGGGAAAUCUUACAUAAAGGCCAGCCCUACCUUCUAGGAUAAGU